AUACGGAGGAUCCGAGCGUUAUCCGGAUUUAUUGGGCUUAAAGGGUGCGCAGGCGGGAGAUUAAGUCGGCGGUGAAAUUUUUCAGCUCAACUGUAAAAGUGCCUUCGAAACUGGUUUCCUUGAGUGCGGGAGAAGUAGGCGGAACUUGAUGUGUAGCGGUGAAAUGCUUAGAUAUCACGAAGAACACCGAUUGCGCAGGCAGCUUACUAAACCACUACUGACGCUCAGGCACGAAGGCGUGGGGAUCAAACAGGAUUAGAUACCCUGGUAGUCCACGCAGUAAACGAUGAUUACUAGCUGUUUGCGAUACAAUGUAAGCGGCUGAGCGAAAGCGUUAAGUAAUCCGCCUGGGGAGUACGCCGGCAACGGUGAAACUCAAAUGAAUUGGCGGGG
rnacentral:rRNA from 1 species